CCUACGGGAGGCAGCAGUGGGGAAUUUUGGACAAUGGGGGCAACCCUGAUCCAGCAAUGCCGCGUGAGUGAAGAAGGCCUUCGGGUUGUAAAGCUCUUUUGUCAGGGAAGAAAAGGACUGGGUUAAUACCCUGGUUUUAUGACGGUACCUGAAGAAUAAGCACCGGCUAACUACGUGCCA
rnacentral:rRNA from 1 species